GAUGAACGCUAGCUACAGGCUUAACACAUGCAAGUCGAGGGGCAGCAUGGUCUUAGCUUGCUAAGGCCGAUGGCGACCGGCGCACGGGUGAGUAACACGUAUCCAACCUGCCGUCUACUCUUGGACAGCCUUCUGAAAGGAAGAUUAAUACAAGAUGGCAUCAUGAGUCCGCAUGUUCACAUGAUUAAAGGUGUUCCGGUAGACGAUGGGGAUGCGUUCCAUUAGAUAGUAGGCGGGGUAACGGCCCACCAAGUCGUCGAUGGAUAGGGGUUCUGAGAGGAAGGUCCGCCACAUUGGAACUGAGACACGGUCCAA
rnacentral:rRNA from 1 species